rnacentral:rRNA from 1 species
CCCUUAGAUGUCCUGGGCCGCACGCGCGUUACACUGAUGCAUUCAACGAGCUUAUAACCUUGGCCGAGAGGCCUGGGCAAUCUUGUUAACGUGCAUCGUGAUAGGGAUAGAUUAUUGAAAUUAUUAAUCUUGAACGAGGAAUUCCUAGUAAACGCAGAUCAUCAAUCUGCAUUGAUUACGUCCCUGCCCUUUGUACACACCGCCCGUCGCACCUACCGAUUGGAUGGUCCGGUGAAGCCUCGGGAUUGUGGUUCUUGCCGCUUUAUUGUGGCGAGACCGCGAGAACUUGUCUAAACCUUAUCAUCUAGAGGAAGGUGAAGUCGUAACA